AUUCUUCUCACUGGAAAGGGUCUGCUCAGCAAUGUAACUUCUUAACAGUCAUCAGGCCUAAAGAGCAGAUACUUGGAACCCAUUAAGACAGAGAAAGCAGUGAUGCUAAUCCACCACCUGAAGUCAUAUGAUUUAUCUGAAGCAGAAGUGUGCCUCAGUCUAAAACCCAGAGAAGAAUGAGUCCUCUACCCCUGUAUAUCUCCCAAAAAGAUAAGGAAACUGAAGCACAAACAAAUUGAGUGACUUCCAGAGGUCACAGCAUUCAUCCAUUGAAGAAGCCACACCAAAGCCAGGUCACCUAGACACCUGAGUCUGUUUUACACCUCUGAGCUGAUGGGGAUGGAGUUGGGGGGUGAAAUAAAAAACUGCACUCUAGAAUUAUCUAGUUAU